GGUAUAUCCUCGAAAGAUCCGUCGCCUUAGGAUGGGACUGCGUCCGAUUAGGUUGUUGGCGGGGUAACGGCCCACCAAGCCUUUUAUCGGUACGGGUUGUGGGAGCAAGAUCCCGGAGAUGGAUUCUGAGACAUGAAUCCAGGCCCUACGGGGCGCAGCAGGCGCGCAAACUUUACAAUGCGAGCAAUCGUGAUAAGGAAACCCUGAGUGCCUGUCGAUGCAGGCUGUUCAUAUAUCUAAAUCAUAUGUGAAGAAAGGGCAGGGCAAGACCGGUGCCAGCCGCCGCGGUAAUACCGGCUGCUCGAGUGAUGGCCACUAUUACUGGGUUUAAAGCGUCCGUAGCUUGACUGUUAGGUCUCUUGGGAAAUCUUCGCGCUCAACGUGAAGGCGUCUAAGAGAUACCGGCAGUCUUGGAACUGGGAGAGGUAAACCGUACUUCGGGGGUAGGAGUGAAAUCUUGUAAUCCUCGAGGGACGACCUAUGGCGAAGGCAGUUUACCAGAACAGCUUCGACAGUGAGGGACGAAAGCUGGGGGAGCAAACGGGAUUAGAUACCCCGGUAGUCCCAGCCGUAAACAAUGUGCGUUAGGUGUGUCGGUAACCACGUGUUACUGAUGCGCCGAAGAGAAAUCGUGAAACGCACCACCUGGGAAGUACGGUCGCAAGGCUGAAACUUAAAGGAAUUGGCGGGGGAGCACCACAACAGGUGGAGCCUGCGGUUUAAU
rnacentral:rRNA from 1 species